GGUGUUUCUUUGCAGAUUCUCUACAUUAUUAUUUUUUUUCUUUUGUAUCGUCCCAGGUCUGCUUGUAUGGAACAUUCCAGGGAGGAGUAUAGUGGUUCCCACUGGACAGAUGAAUUUCUUACCUACAGGAUAACCUCAACUUUUCCAUCAUUACUCAUAGGAGAGUCUACAUUUUUAGCUCUUUUUUCUCUGAUUUGCUAAAGACUAUAUCGUUGUGCCUUGCAGACACCCACCUCCUCUCUCAUACAAAGUCCAUAAAAUGCCUGAGACUUGUGGACUAUGGCCAGUGGUGUCUUUGCAGCCUCACAGAAGUUCCCAGGCUCCCAGUACCCUCAGGAAGCCCCUCAAGAUGCUGCUUCUCAUCCUUCCCUGCAGCCCAAAUAACAGGGUCCACACCCUCCCCUGGGUGUGCUGAUCCCUUGGCCACCUGUCCUCAUCCAUUGCUGCUUAAACCUUCCUGC
ensembl:lincRNA